rnacentral:rRNA from 1 species
UUUUAAAUAAUUUUUUUUUAAAAGGGGUUUUUUUUUACUUUUUUUUUUAGGAGGAAUAGAAACUCACAAGGAUUCCCUUCGUAACGGCGAGUGAAGCGGGAAGAGCUCAAAUUGGUAAUCUGGCACUUUCAGUGUCCGAGUUGUAAUCUCUAGAAGUGUUUUACGCGCCGGACCGCAUACAAGUCUGUCGGAAUACAGCGUCAUAGUGGUGAGAACCCCGUCACUGAUGCGGAUGCCCGCUGCUUUGUGAUACACUUUCGAAGCGUCGAGUUGUUCGGGAAUGCAGCUCAAAUAGGGUGGUAAAUUCCAUCUAAAGCUAAAUAUUGGCGAGAGACCGAUUGCGAACAAGUACCGUGAGGGAAAGAUGAAAAGCACUUUGGAAAGAGAGUUAACAGUACGUGAAAUUGUUGGAAGGGAAACGCUUGAAGUCAGACUUGCUAUUUGGAGUUCAGCCCAUGGUGUAUUCUUCAAUUUGCAGGCCAGCAUCAGUUUUCGAGGGUGGAAAAUCGUAGUUUGAAUGUAGCAGUUUCGGCUGUGUGAUAGCUUUCUACUGGAUUCAUCUUUGGGGACUGAGAAACGCAGUGCGCUAUUAGCAAGGCUCUCGAGCUUCACGCACUUGGUUGCAGAUGGAUGCUGGUGAUUU